rnacentral:rRNA from 1 species
CCUACGGGAGGCAGCAGUGAGGCAUAUUGGUCAAUGGACGAGAGUCUGAACCAGCCAAGUAGCGUGAAGGAUGACUGCCCUGUGGGUUGUAAACUUCUUUUAUCUGGGAAUAACAUGUUCAACGUGUGGGCUUUUGUAUGUACUUUAUGAUUAAGGGUCGGCUAACUCCGUGCCAGCAGCCGCGGUAAUACGUCGGAUCCGAGCGGUAUCCGGAUUUAUUGGGUUUAAAGGGAGCGUAGGUGGAUUGUUAAGUCGGUUGUGAAAGUUUGCGGCUCAACCGUAAAAUUGCAGUUGAGACUGGCAGUCUUGAGUACAGUAGAGGUGGGCGGAAUUCGUGGUGGAGCGGUGAAAUGCUGAGAUAUCACGAAGAACUCCGAUUGCGAAGGCAGCUCACUGGACUGCAACUGACACUGAGGCUCGAAAGUGUGGGUAUCAAACAGGAUUAGAUACCCGUGUAGUC